CUUGUUAUUAGUGUUUAUGAUGUUUUGAUCAUUUCACUGCACUUUUUAUCUGAAGAAACAACUUUUUGUUCAUGGAAAAGUUUGCUGUCUCUUUUAAGGUCUUAUAUGUACAUGAGGGUUUUUUUUCAGAAUUUAUUUUGACUUCUUUGUAUGAUUUUUUUUUUUUUUUUCAUUUUUGAAGAUCCUGCAAAGACUUAACAGCACUGAGCAUUUCCUGCCUUGGCCACCAUGUCCUGCGCCACCCUGCUACUACUGCCUCACCACUGCACACACACAAGGCCUUCAUUGCCCACACAUGCUCACUCUGCUGGACGGACGCACAAACACCAUUUUGUCUACAGGUUUCCAGCCUUGACUUUGGCUUGGCUGACAUCAGCAGUCAUGUGGUAGCAGAGGAGCAGGUGACUUAUAUGACAGAGUCUGGAGUAAUAUGUUCAGUAAUAGUAAUGAGACUAAUAAUAAUAAGAAGGAAAACACUGUUGAUUGUGUUAUUUUUGCUCUCUAUCCUUAAAAAAUCUCAACAGAUCUGUCUAUCUUACUUUUUUUUCUCUGAAACAAGACAAGCUGCAGGAACAAAUACCAGAUUAUUCCAGUCUCUUUAAGAACUGUAAGUGACUGAGGCUUAAACAUACACAAUGACUUGUUAUUUUAGCAUUUUGAAUUGCAGGCACUGUUUUUGCUGGAGGCCUACUGGUCUGAGUCUUAUUCUAGUGGAGGUAUAAUGAUCUGCAAUGUUGCUGAUGCACUUAUUGUCAGGAAACUCACAAUGAGUUUGCCUCAUAAAAAUUACAACAGUACUAAAAGGACAAAAGGCUAUUGCUUUGGUAGCAUUUGCCUUUGACCACACAAUGUUCUUGUAAGAGCAAAGUGCGGACAGAAAAAGGAUGAGUAAAGGAGACACAGCGAGAGGGGUUUUUUUUUGUAAGCGCAUUUAGAAUUAGUAAAAAGGAGAUUGUGUUGCUGGCAAAUUAACUAUUUAAAACUACAAAAGGUCUGUUUUCAAAUAGGUUUGGAGAAUGAUUUUAUUUGCUGCACAGAUCUACAGUCUCCAACAACCUCACUGGAGAAAAAACGUGAACAAACUCUACCAGGAUAAAGGUCAGGCUUCUCCGUGCUAAAUACAUAAUCACUGUAUCUUCCUGCAAAAGACCUCAUAACUUAUAAAUCACUUUACUUUAACAUUUGAUAUGCUUAAUAUGUGCACAAAUAGAGGCACUUAAUACAGACACUCAUCCCUAACUGUUAACUGUAAGUUACUCUGAGCAUGAGCUGCAUUCAUAUAGGCAAAAUCUUGUACAGCUGCUUUUUCUCUAUGUAUUUUGUAUGUCAAAUAUUUAGGAACCAAGUCUCACCUUAUGUGGCUCCCAACUAACGUCUCCACUAAGUGUGAGUUUUAGAGCUGUUUUCUGCACCCUCAGGAAACAAUGCAUAACUCUAUUCUGCACUAUAUCACUCCUUGUUCAUUUACAACCCCCCAAACCCCUGCAGCACCGACUAGGAUCGGUCAAAUACAAGAUUUAUACAGGUGUUGUACUCAAUAAAUUCUUACAUAUUUCAAGCUGUUGAAACAGCAGCUAGAGCCAUCCCAGCAAAGUCUGUAGUGUUUAUACACUAUCUAUAGCAUUUAGCAUACAGUUUGUUAAAGGUAACCAAUUUGAACAAAAUUUCUACCAUGCUUAGCGGUGCUAAUGGCUAAUUGCUAAUAUCAGCAUGCCAACAAUGUUUACAGUGUAUUCAGCAGGUGUUUAGUCUCCCAGGUUCACCAUCUUAGUUUAACAUGUUAACAUGCUAACAGUUGCACAUUAGCACUCGUAAAUGUGAUUGUCAUUUUUGCAAUGGACAAACUGGAAUUAUUAUUAUUAUUAGUUGUUAAGACAUUUCCACAAUGUCCAAUAACAACAAAACUGCCAAUCGCAACAUCACCCUUAAUAUCACCAGACCAGAACAGAUGUAGCAGGAAGUCAUCCACAGAAAGAAGCUGACAGUGUUUCUUCAUCAACCUGCAUAAAUACUGAAUGUUCAACUUUGUUCGUCCUAAGAGUCAACACAGACACAUCCACAGUCAGUCUCUUGGCGGCAGCAUUCUGCAGCUCAUGCAUAACAAAGUAGAGAGCAGCAGACUUGAGGAGACAUUGUGUGGUGACUAGAAGAUUUGGAAUAAAAAGCAGAUCUGUGAUGAUGUCCUUAGUCUUGUCGGUUAACAAUUAUUUCCAGUUGUUGUUAUUAUAUUUAUUGCUAGUAGACAUUGUAUACAUUAGAUUUAAAAAAAAAAUAUUGCAAGG